CAAGACAGAACAUGAUGUAUAGCAAGAAAGACUAGCAUUAACUGCUUCCAAAUGCCUUUGCACUAUCCAAGGUAUACCAAAAAGACUGCCAACAUAUACCUGAGUGGAUGAUUGACAAAAGUACUAAAGUAUCAAAGAGGACUACCAUUUCACUAUAUCUUACCAGCCAACUUUUGCUGACAAAAGUACAUGAGUAGCUCUGUUUAGAAUAGGUGCAUCAAACAAUAUUCCACUACAUAGAGAGUUGACCUUGCCGUUAGUGCCAAGGUACCCUAAUCCUAAACAACUAGAAAGUCAAUCAAAAGAGAGUAAUAAGGCGAGCCACUAUUGACUUAUUUGAUCAAGGGGUUCAAAGUCAGUAACAAAGCAG